CUUCUUACUGCGGUAGAGCCAAGAGUUGUCAACUGGAGCCUCGUUACCAGUGGAGAAACAGGUAAAAACAAUUACGUUUCAACUUCACUCCCUGUAAUUGUCAUGUACUGUUUAAAAUAAUGAGUUCUGUUUGGUUGUAAUUGAUACUUAAACAGAGGAGGACAAGAAGUUGAACGCUACAUACAUAAUCAGUGUUGCAAGGAAGCUCGGAUGCUCCAUAUUCUUGUUGCCUGAGGAUAUCAUAGAGGUAAUAUCAUCUCUUCAUUGAAACAGGGUUUGAAUGCUUUUCUGGUUUAUUUCUGAAUCAAUUUACUUGCGUGAAAUAGGUGAACCAGAAGAUGAUGCUUAUUCUGGCUGCUAGUAUCAUGUACUGGAGCCUUCAGCA
rnacentral:lncRNA from 1 species